ACUACAGCGAACUGUAUUGUCGCAACGUUUUCUGGUUUUCGGCAUACUCUGACGGGGAACCGUGUAUAGAUUGUAGGACGUAGGUAGCCGUUGCAGGCUCCUGGAGUCUAGUUUGUUCAAAAAGAAAGAAAUUUCAACUAAGUUAAACAGAGACUGGUUACAAUUGAAAAUCAAUUUUUUGUAAAAUUUUGACUACCGCAAAGAAACUUACAAAUCAGAGAUAUGCAUUCAAGAGCAGGAAGCGAAAACACAACAAGAAUUAUCAGAGAAAAUAUUCAGCAACUCAAUAGAUAUCAUGACAUUUUGUCAUUCUUGAGGAAAACUGGCCACCUCAAUGAUGGUCAUGUUUUUGGCAAAUUGGACCUUAUCCUUGAAAUUUUUUUUUAUUAUUAUAAAAUGACUUAAUAGUCCACUACGGACAAAUAAUAGAGCUUAUUAAGGAGUCUCAAUGUAUUUAAUCAACAUUGCUUAUAUUGUUAAAUUAAUAAAAAUUAUAAUCAAAAUAUUAUAUAUUGACUAUAAUAAUAAGAUAAUGGGCAUAUUUUUAGAUGUUCAGAGAGCUUUUGAUUGUGUUGCUUAUAAACUAUUAAUUAAUAAAUUAGAACAUGCCGGUAUUUGUGGUAUACCAAAUAGAUUACUUAAAUCCUUCCUAAAUAAUAAAACUCAAAGAGUCAAACUUAAUGAUUAGUAUAAUGAAAUCCAAGAAGUAUCUUGUGGUGUACCACAAGUCACAGUUAUAAGACCCUUAUUAUUCAUAAUAUUUAUUAAUGAUCUCUUAAAAAUUCCCAUUAACUUAUAUACUGAAAUUCUAAACUUUGCUGAUAAUACUUCAAUUCUAUUAUCUGAACAAACAAUAGAUACUUUAUAUUAUGAAGCAAAUAAAACAUUAAAUAAUAUUAUUGUUUGGUUCUGCAAGGACAAAUUGAAACUAAACUUAUUCAAAUCUAAAUAUAUUUGUUUCAGUCCAUAAAAGUGUAAUAUUUUAAAUCCAAAUAGUCUAAUAGUUAAUUCUUUAAAAUGUUGUUCAGUUUCGGAUAAUACGUGUGGAACUCAAAAAAACGAAAGAAUUAAAAUACCUAUUGAUCUAAUUCUUGAUUAUAAUCAAGUCUAUAGACUCAAGUGGAAAAGUUAAAUAAUAAAAAUAAUAAAUAAAACAAAUAGAAUACUGAAUAGUCAUAUUAAGUAUAUAAAUAAUAAAUUACGUAAAUUCUUCUUUAUUUUUAUAAAUAUUCAAUAUAUAUUUAUCAACUCAUAUAAAAUAAUUAUUUAUCAUUGGGGCAAUCUGUAUUUACUUUUGGUAUUUUAAUAUGGGGAGGUACUUUAUAACUAAUUAUUAAUAAUUAAUUGCAUUACUAAAUAUCUACUCUAUUUGCCAAUUGAAACAAAUACUAAGUUAAUCUAUAGACUAUAAGGAACUAAAAGUAAAUUAUUUUAGGUAUAUUUUUCAUUUUAAUAAUUAAUACUCUAGUUGAACUUUAUAAAAAUAAACAUUUAAUUAUCUCCUUAGUUCAUGAUUAAUGAUUAUAGUACUAGAUACAAAUAUAAUAUAAAUAUACGUUUACCUAGAUAUAAUACAAUUUUCGGCUGAAUGAGUGUUUUGUACAAUGGUCUAAAACUAUGCCAAACUUCAGAUAUUAAUAUAAAUCAUUUUUGUAAUUUAAACUCUUCCAAAAGAUGUAAAAAGUCUUGAUUUAUCUAGUAUAUAAUUAAUAUUGGUAAAUUUAAAUAAUAUAUUAUAUUAUUUUUGGUAUAUUUUAUGCCAUAUUAUUCCUUUCCUUUUGACCUUUAUUCUAAUUAAAACAUUGCUUACUAUACUUUUUUAUUUUAAUAUAAUAUAAUUUUACUUAUGCUAUUAUAUGUAAAUUGUAACUGAUAAGAACCGCUCCCCCAGCACAAGCUUAGCUUUUAGGAGGUGCUGCAAUUUAAUGUAUGUUCAUUGUACAUAUUAUAAUGUAUCACCUAUAUUAUGUUUUGGCAAAAAUAUAUUAUUAUGUAGCAACACACACUUUUUGUAUCCAUCAAGAAAUCAACUAAAAGUUGUAAAAACUAAUCAUUCCUAAAAUGUUGCUAGUACAUUAAGGUAUGGCAUAGAAAUAUUACUGUUUUAUUCAAUAAAUAAGAAAAUGGGUUUAUAUAAGUUAAUUGUAUGUAUUAUUAAUAUUUAUAAAAAAUAGAUAAUUUAGAAAAAAAAAUAUUUAAACUUGUUAAGUUAAGGAACGAAUUUAAAAAAGGAAUACUUUUUACUAUGGAAAAGACUUAGAAUAAUACAUUAUGUAUUUUAUUAUAUUCUUUACACUAUGAGUAAAACAUAUAUAGUUUAAAAAGUGUUUUGUACAGGCAAUUUGACUGCAAUUUCAUACUAUUGUGAUACCCUCGUAAUUUCGUAAGCCAUUGAAUAUAUAAAAAUAUUGUACUCCACCAAAAGUGUUUAACGUAUAUUGGCUUUCAUAGUUGUGAUUAUCAUAUUUACCAUAUUACCUUGUAAUAACGUAGAAAUAAGAUAAAAUAAAAAAUAAAUAUAA